AUCGCUUCUCGGCCUUUUGGCUAAGAUCAAGUGUAGAAUUUACAUUUCAUCCUACCAUUUACUGUAUGAAAGUGAUACCAUUAGGGUUUCUUUUCACAGAUGAAGAUGCCAACUUAA
rnacentral:snRNA from 1 species